GACGAACGCUGGCGGCGUGCUUAACACAUGCAAGUCGAACGGAAAGGCCCUGCUUUUGUGGGGUGCUCGAGUGGCGAACGGGUGAGUAACACGUGAGUAACCUGCCCUUGACUUUGGGAUAACUUCAGGAAACUGGGGCUAAUACCGGAUAGGAGCUCCUGCUGCAUGGUGGGGGUUGGAAAGUUUCGGCGGUUGGGGAUGGACUCGCGGCUUAUCAGCUUGUUGGUGGGGUAGUGGCUUACCAAGGCUUUGACGGAUAGCCGGCCUGAGAGGGUGACCGGCCACAUUGGGACUGAGAUACGGCCCAGACUCCUACGGGAGGCAGCAGUGGGGAAUAUUGCACAAUGGGCGGAAGCCUGAUGCAGCAACGCCGCGUGCGGGAUGACGGCCUUCGGGUUGUAAACCGCUUUCGCCUGUGACGAAGCGUGAGUGACGGUAAUGGGUAAAGAAGCACCGGCUAACUACGU
rnacentral:rRNA from 1 species